rnacentral:rRNA from 1 species
GCUGUCGGAGAGCGCGCCGCGCGCCGGUCUCGGCGCGCAGCGCGAUCUUUCCAUACGUCGAACUUUACGACUCUCGCAACGGAUUGCAUCGAUGAAGAACGCAGCGAAAUGCGAUACUUGGUGUGAAUUGCAGAAUCCCGUGAACCAUCGAGUCUUUGAACGCAAGUUGCGCC